GAUGAACGCUGGCGGCGUGCCUAAUACAUGCAAGUCGAGCGAACGGACGAGAAGCUUGCUUCUCUGAUGUUAGCGGCGGACGGGUGAGUAACACGUGGAUAACCUACCUAUAAGACUGGGAUAACUUCGGGAAACCGGAGCUAAUACCGGAUAAUAUUUUGAACCGCAUGGUUCAAAAGUGAAAGACGGUCUUGCUGUCACUUAUAGAUGGAUCCGCGCUGCAUUAGCUGGUUGGUAAGGUAACGGCUUACCAAGGCAACGAUGCAUAGCCGACCUGAGAGGGUGAUCGGCCACACUGGAACUGAGACACGGUCCAGACUCCUACGGGAGGCAGCAGUAGGGAAUCUUCCGCAAUGGGCGAAAGCCUGACGGAGCAACGCCGCGUGAGUGAUGAAGGUCUUCGGAUCGUAAAACUCUGUUAUUAGGGAAGAACAUAUGUGUAAGUAACUGUGCACAUCUUGACGGUACCUAAUCAGAAAGCCACGGCUAACUACGUGCCAGCAGCCGCGGUAAUACGUAGGUGGCAAGCGUUAUCCGGAAUUAUUGGGCGUAAAGCGCGCGUAGGCGGUUUUUUAAGUCUGAUGUGAAAGCCCACGGCUCAACCGUGGAGGGUCAUUGGAAACUGGAAAACUUGAGUGCAGAAGAGGAAAGUGGAAUUCCAUGUGUAGCGGUGAAAUGCGCAGAGAUAUGGAGGAACACCAGUGGCGAAGGCGGCUUUCUGGUCUGUAACUGACGCUGAUGUGCGAAAGCGUGGGGAUCAAACAGGAUUAGAUACCCUGGUAGUCCACGCCGUAAACGAUGAGUGCUAAGUGUUAGGGGGUUUCCGCCCCUUAGUGCUGCAGCUAACGCACUAAGCACUCCGCCUGGGGAGUACGACCGCAAGGUUGAAACUCAAAGGAAUUGACGGGGACCCGCACAAGCGGUGGAGCAUGUGGUUUAAUUCGAAGCAACGCGAAGAACCUUACCAAAUCUUGACAUCCUUUGACAACUCUAGAGAUAGAGCUUUCCCCUUCGGGGGACAAAGUGACAGGUGGUGCAUGGUUGUCGUCAGCUCGUGUCGUGAGAUGUUGGGUUAAGUCCCGCAACGAGCGCAACCCUUAAGCUUAGUUGCCAUCAUUAAGUUGGGCACUCUAAGUUGACUGCCGGUGACAAACCGGAGGAAGGUGGGGAUGACGUCAAAUCAUCAUGCCCCUUAUGAUUUGGGCUACACACGUGCUACAAUGGACAAUACAAAGGGCAGCGAAACCGCGAGGUCAAGCAAAUCCCAUAAAGUUGUUCUCAGUUCGGAUUGUAGUCUGCAACUCGACUACAUGAAGCUGGAAUCGCUAGUAAUCGUAGAUCAGCAUGCUACGGUGAAUACGUUCCCGGGUCU
rnacentral:rRNA from 1 species